GACGAACGCUGGCGGCGUGCUUAACACAUGCAAGUCGAACGGAAAGGCCCCUUUGGGGGUACUCGUGUGGCGUACUGGCGAAUAACACGUGAGUGACCAACCCAUGUCUUCGGGAUAACUUCAGGACACUUGGACUAAUACCCGAUUGGCACCCUUGCUGUAUGGUCGGGGUUGGAGAGAUUCGGCGGUUUUGGAUGGACUGUCGGCUGACCCGCUUGUUGGUGGGGUAGUGGCUUACCAAGGCUGUGACGGGUAGCCGGCCUGAGGGGGGGGCCGGCCACAUGGGGACUGAGAGACGGCCCAGACGGGUACGGGAGGCAGUAGAGGGGAAUCUUGCACAACGGGGGGGAGUCUGAUGCGGCGACGCCGCGGGUGGGAUGACGGCCUUCGGGUGGUGAAACGCUUUCAGCAGGGGAGAAGCUUGUGGUGACGGUACCUGAAGAAGAAGCACCGGCUAACUACGUG
rnacentral:rRNA from 1 species